GACAGAGGGUGCAAACGUUGUUCGGAAUUACUGGGCGUAAGCGCGUGUAGGCGGCCAUCUAAGUCGGGCGUGAAAUCCCACGGCUCAACCGUGGAAGUGCACUCGAAACUGGAUGGCUAGAGUCCUGGAGAGGAAGGUGGAAUGCUUGGUGUAGAGGUGAAAUUCGUAGAUAUCAAGCGGAACACCGGUGGCGAAGGCGGCCUUCUGGACAGUGACUGACGCUGAGACGCGAAAGCGUGGGGAGCAAACAGG
rnacentral:rRNA from 1 species